AAUCUAUGCAUCGAACAUUUUCGAAUUAAGUCUUUAAAUCAUUCCCAAGUUCAUAUAGUGUUUCAUCCUUCAAUUGCCGAAAAGAUGUGAUGUCAUUUCUAAGUUU
rfam:Gossypium hirsutum cultivar TM-1 chromosome 8, whole genome shotgun sequence